CACAUGCUGAAUAUUUAGCCCAGCAUUAGGAAGACAUGGAUCCAAAAGUAUUGAAAAAAUGACCAGUGUGUGUAAAGGAGACUCCGAGAUUGACUACCAGACUUCUAGAAUGAUGUAACCAUACCUACAUAGAUUGGCUCAACAUAGGCAAACAUUAUUGGAGUCAUGGACAAGCACAGUGCAUACAACAUUUUGAAAAUUGAGGCCAGACGCUCCCUAUCAUCUCAGCAAAGACACUAAUUCAGCAGAG
rnacentral:lncRNA from 1 species